rnacentral:rRNA from 1 species
UACGUAGGGGGCUAGCGUUAUCCGGAAUUACUGGGCGUAAAGGGUGCGUAGAUGGCCUGAUAAGUUAGCAGUGGGAAAUCGAGGCUCAACCUCGUGGAAGCUGGUAAUACUGUCAAGCUCGAGUGCAGGAGAGGUUAACGGAACUCCAUGUGGAGCGGUAAAAUGUGUAGAUAUAUGGAAGAACACCAAUAACGGCGAAGGCAGUUAACUAUUCUGUUACUGACAUUGAGGCACGAAAGCGUGGGGAGCAAAACGG